rnacentral:ncRNA from 1 species
UGUCUUCAGGGCAGGGUGCAAUUCCCUACCGGUGGUUACAGCCCACGAGCUUACCGUCAACUGUGUUGGCGGGGCAGAUUCGGUGUGAUUCCGAAGCCGACAGUUACAGUCUGGAUGAAAGAGGACA